AGGACCUACAAAAGAGGAUACUUAGUUUCCUGAUCAGCUCAGUUAAAUUAUUUGGAUUGUCUCCAAAUCAGAACAUUGUUGGCUUCGCCAACCAGAACUUUGUUAGCUCUGCUAACCAGAAUUGUGUACGUACACCAGAACCUGUUGUCUCGAGAGAUUCGAUGACAACCAGUUGUAGAUAGCACGCCCAAUAGAUGAGCCAAGAAGAUAUGAGCUCUGAUUAUUUUAGUAUGCAUGGAAUGACUCACUUUAAAAAACAUUCUGUGUUAUACUGUUUAAGGCAUGAAUUAUCUUUUUCAGUAAAUGAUUUUUAAAAUGUUUUUAAAUGGCUCAACCCACUGAGUACACUAGUACUCAGCCCUGCAAUUAUUUUCAAAACCUUUUGCAGAUUGAGCAGCUGGUGGUGACGUGCGAGGCUGAGGAAUGGUUGUUGCUAUGGAUUUUGAAGAAAUGCUAUGUUUACUCCCGCUGAAAUAAAUUCACUUAGUGAAUAUUAUCUGAUGCCCAACUAUGUUAAUACUUUAUUCAUAUUUUUAUAUGAAUUAAUUCACUCUCCAUCACUUUCUUAGCAAUUUUUUUCCGCAUCUAUCAUGUGCUUAGUAUGAGACGUUGUCUUGGUCUCAGACCUUCGAACUUCCGAUCCUGAUAGGGAGAAUAAUUAUGUUAUAAUGUCGUACUUAUUUUCAUUUAAAUACGGCAUAAUGCCCAACCCUCAGGGCACAUUACCUAUUUUAUUCAAGUAAAGCUUAGUAG